UGAGGAAUAUUGGUCAAUGGGCGAGAGCCUGAACCAGCCAAGUCGCGUGAAGGAAGAAGGUUCUAUGGAUUGUAAACUUCUUUUAUAAGGGAAUAAAAAAGACUACGUGUAGUCUAUUGUAUGUACUUUAUGAAUAAGGAUCGGCUAACUCCGUGCCAGCAGCCGCGGUAAUACGGAGGAUCCAAGCGUUAUCCGGAUUUAUUGGGUUUAAAGGGUGCGUAGGCGGGCCCGUCAGUCAGUGGUGAAAGUUUGCAGCUCAACUGUAAAAUUGCCAUUGAAACUACGGGUCUUGAGUGCAAAUGAGGUAGGCGGAAUGUGUUGUGUAGCGGUGAAAUGCUUAGAUAUAACACAGAACACCAAUUGCGAAGGCAGCUUACUAGAAUGCAACUGACGCUGAGGCACGAAAGCGUGGGGAUCAAACAGG
rnacentral:rRNA from 1 species